rnacentral:sRNA from 1 species
AGGGAUCAUUACCGAGUUUACAACUCCCAAACCCAUGUGAACAUACCUAUUGUUGCUUCGGCGGGAUUGCCCCGGGCGCCUCGUGUGCCCCGGAUCAGGCGCCCGCCUAGGAAACUCAACUCUUGUUUUAUUUUGGAAUCUUCUGAGUAGUUUUUACAAAUAAAUAAAAACUUUCAACAACGGAUCUCUUGGUUCUGGCAUCGAUGAAGAACGCAGCGAAAUGCGAUAAGUAAUGUGAAUUGCAGAAUUCAGUGAAUCAUCGAAUCUUUGAACGCACAUUGCGCCCGCCAGUAUUCUGGCGGGCAUGCCUGUCUGAGCGUCAUUUCAACCCUCAUGCCCCUAGGGCGUGGUGUUGGGGAUCGGCCAAAGCCCGUGAGGGACGGCCGGCCCCUAAAUCUAGUGGCGGACCCGUCGUGGCCUCCUCUGCGAAGUAGUGAUAUUCCGCAUCGGAGAGCGAUGAGCCCCUGCCGUUAAACCCCCAACUUUCUAAGGUUGACCUCAGAUCAGGUAGGAAUACCCGCUGAACUUAA